GGCGGACGGGUGAGGAAUACAUCGGAAUCUACUCUGUCGUGGGGGAUAACGUAGGGAAACUUACGCUAAUACCGCAUACGACCUACGGGUGAAAGCAGGGGAUCUUCGGACCUUGCGCGAUUGAAUGAGCCGAUGUCGGAUUAGCUAGUUGGCGGGGUAAAGGCCCACCAAGGCGACGAUCCGUAGCUGGUCUGAGAGGAUGAUCAGCCACACUGGAACUGAGACACGGUCCAGACUCCUACGGGAGGCAGCAGCA
rnacentral:rRNA from 1 species